GGCAGUAGAGCUCAGUGGUAGAGCACUUGCCUCAUACGUAUGAUACUCAGCAGGUUUGAUCUCCAGCACUGCCA
rnacentral:tRNA from 1 species